AUUGAACGCUGGCGGCAUGCCUUACACAUGCAAGUCGAACGGAUUGAAGGGGCUUGCUCCUUCAGUUAGUGGCGAACGGGUGAGUAAAGCAUCGGAACGUACCCAGUCGUGGGGGAUAACGUAGCGAAAGUUACGCUAAUACCGCAUACGAUCUGAGGAUGAAAGCGGGGGAUCGCAAGACCUCGCGCGAUUGGAGCGGCCGAUGUCGGAUUAGCUAGUUGGUGAGGUAAAGGCUCACCAAGGCGACGAUCCGUAGCUGGUCUGAGAGGAUGGUCAGGCACACUGGAACUGAGACACGGGCCAGACUCCUACGGGAGGCAGCAGUGGGGAAUUUUGGACAAUGGGGGAAACCCUGAUCCAGCCAUGCCGCGUGAGUGAAGAAGGCCUUCGGGUUGUAAAGCUCUUUCAGUCGGAAAGAAAAGGCUCCGGAUAAUACCUGGAGUUGAUGACGGUACCGACAGAAGAAGCACCGGCUAACUACGUGCCAGCCGCCGCCGUAA
rnacentral:rRNA from 1 species